CGUGGGCUUCCACUCCGACUCCAACUCCGAUUCCGACUUAACACAUAUCCACAUGGGAAUGGAGUCGAGAAUGGGAGCUGAAUAGAGCCGGGCCUAGAAAGCUUCUUCUUCGGAGCCUGCUGGCCACGAUCUCUGGGGCCCCCAUUAGCCACAAAAGGUGUAGGCCGAAAAUGCUCUCAGCAUCGGGGCAUCAAAUUCGCAGCAGGACCCCCCAAAAAGGGGGGCAGCGAUAUUUGAUUUGCGAGACAGUUGGCAACUGCGGCAGUUGGCAAUUAUUGCACAUUACCCGGACAGUUGACAGUUGGCGGUAGAGCAGGGGUAGGGUGAGGGAGAGGGGUCUUGGCCAAGAUUUGAUUACGCUUUGAACUCGACUGGGCCAUGGGCUGGGCCUAAUUGAAGUCUGCCUGCCACCUGCCCUGCUUAGGUUACUUUUCCUUUUUUUAUUUAUUUUUUUUUAGCAUUUAUUAUUUAUUUUUUUGCUGUUCAUUUUUUUUUUUUUGCCUUUUUGCCUAUAACUUGAGUUUGGGGCCCCGACCAGUUGCGAUCCUCGAUCAGUGAUCAGGGAUUUUUCGACGGAGGAGGAGGAAGGAGUUCAGGGUCUCGGGAGCUGUGGGGCCUGGAGACUGGAGGGGGUUUUUCGGCCGACCGACUGGCAGCAACCAUAAAUGCGCUCCGUGGGAAAUGGCGUGUGCCCUCGAGCGUGUGCCGACCAAUUUGACUCCUCGCGAACUGGAAAAAUACGAAGAGUCCCUGUCUUUUGCACACUUGACUUGGAAUGUUAUUUUUUUGGCGACUACCAAAGCUCAUUGCCACGCCAAGUUUGCGCUCAACACGCCCCCGUUUAUGUCCCAGAACUGAGCCUGGACCCCGCCCCCUUCUCCACUGGCCGCUCCACCUUGACCCCUUCACCUCCUCCUUGGAUAUCGACCAAGUCAGCCACCGACUAAGUGCGAAUCUGUGGCGCAAUCAGUUGACCACAAAAGUCCCCGGCUCGGAAUCGUCUGGCUGGCAUAGUUUCUCGAAUUUAUUUCACCAGAGUCUCGGAGUCAGAGUGGUUCGGAGUGGAUGGAGUCAGAUGAAGAGAGUCCCCCGAGUCUGACCAGGUUCCGACCCCAAAAAAACUCGGUUCACGACCACGUCGGACCGACCACUGAUGUUGGCGGUUGAUGAUGAUGAUGGCGGUUGGCGAGGCAUCUGCGGCUGCUGCGGCUGCUGGGGCUGCUGAGGCUGCAACUUCGGUUGCUGUGGCUGCUGCCGUUAAAGAAGGCGAGUAGGUGGAUCGUACGUUUGCUUACUAACUGCCGUGGUCAAAAUGUUUAUCAACUUUAAUAUUAAAUUGUAUGCCCCGGCCAAGGCGGGCGAGACCCCGAAAAGCAGGAGCGGAGUUGCUAGCCAAGAAGUGAAGACUAAGAGGAAAUAUUUAAAUUCAAAAGAAAACCCCUAGAUUCGCUCCUGACUUAGUGGUUUACACUCUGACCGGUCGAGGGCGACCUGGAAGUGGUGGGGCGGACGAGCUGGCGGGGCUUAGGGGGUUGUCCUGCCAUAAAGCACGCCGCUGCCUACCGAGCAAUCAGAUGUGUUGUGCCCCAGCCCGUUUGCCAUGGCCUGUCCAGCCCUCGGACCCAGUCCCCAGUCCCCAGUCCCAGCCGGUCAGCAGCCAGCCGGUCAGCACCGCCUUCAGCCCCCUCCCAGUAAGCCUCCCCCAAGUGGAACGCCUCCACUCCACUAAGAGAAACAAGUGUUUAAAAACAUACUAUUAUUUUUCAUAGUUUUUUUAUAUAAAUAAUUUGUAAAAUAAUAAUUUUUUGUA